rnacentral:misc_RNA from 1 species
UCAGGUCCUUGGGCUUGCUUGCGGUUUGUUACGAACACACGCUUGCCUCAAAUGCAUUAGCUGGAUUUCAGUAGAGUUGUUAAGUAACAUUGAAAACUCUCGUAAGAUGAAGUCUGCUUCUAACCCGACGUGCCCGUAAAAACGGCACUCAUAUUCAUUUCUUUGGCCUCAAAUCAGGUAGGACUACCCGCUGAACUUAA